AUCAACAACCUCUCCAUCAAGUCAGUGGGGGAGAGUGACAAAAACAUUCAGGUGGGCUUCAGUAUAGAUCGAACACAGAAUGAUGGAUUUUCCACUAACCUGAACGAAGAAGUGGAUUAUUGCAUCUUGAAUCAAAAGCCGAG